GACAGAGGUGCCGAGCGUUAGGCGGAAUCACUGGGCUUAAAGCGCGUGUAGGCGGGACGGCACGUCGGUCGCUGAAAUCCCCCGGCUCAACCGGGGAACGGGCGCCGAUACGACCGCCCUGGAGGGACGUAGGGGGACCUGGAACUUCCGGUGGAGCGGUGAAAUGCGUUGAGAUCGGAAGGAACGCCCGUGGCGAAAGCGAGGUCCUGGACGUUUUCUGACGCUGAGACGCGAAAGCCAGGGGAGCGAACGGG
rnacentral:rRNA from 1 species